AGUGGGAGGGGAAGGGUGGGGAGAGGGAGGGCUGGCGGGUGGGAAAAGCUGCAGCCCGCUUUCCAGAAGCUGCUGCACACAUCAAAGGCACCUUGAACGCACGCAGCUGGAGCAGCGCGCAAAGUUCCUGCGGCCGCAGCUGUAUAAUUGGAGAUAUAUUUUAUGGCACAUGGCAUUUACUUAUGAAAAUUGUCGCAGCAAGGUUCCCCGUGGUUGAAAUAGCUUCCCAGCCCAAAGGCAUCUAGAUACUGAGUUUUGUCAUUUAAUACUGGUAAGUGCUUAGCAUUUAUUGAGUGCUUUCAAUUUGUUUGUAUUAAGAGCACAGAUUCAGGCAUUUUAUGUUUUAUCACACUAAUAAUAUAAACUUUAAUUUUUAGAUGCCUACAUAUAAUUACAGGUCUCAGGGCUUUUAAGGAGAGGCAGCUCUUUGCAAUGUUUCUUAAAGCUAGGCAAUGUGUUCAAUAAGUCCAAACCUCUGAAGAAAGGCUGAAGGAAGGAAAGAAAUAUAUGCGUACAAUAAUAACAAUAAAUGCAAAAUGCAAAACCUCUGAGAUGACCAUACAAAAAAUAAAAAGGAAAUCAAAAGCAUAUUUUUUCCUCUUUCAGUGUCAUUUAUAUUAAAUGCCCUAGAGGGGGCUUUAGUUAUAGACUGCAAAAGAAAAAUUACAUAUUCCGGUAAGUGCUAUUGUUUAACAAAAAGCGUUUAUGGCUGCUUAUAAUGAGCAAGUUUUAGGUCAGAUGGGGUCUUGGCCAGAGUCCUGGGAGCUGUACUUGGAGGUGUAUAAUUUGCUAGGCCAGCUACCGGCUGAGCAGGGGUGGGUGGUAUUAAAGAGCUAUCUCCAGUCAGCUCCAGAGCGGGGAGAAUCAAGGGCAUGUUUGUUUAUUUAAAGGAGGCAGAUCAGAUAAUAACUGGAUUAAAAAGAGAAGAAAGAAGGGAAGACCCCUCUUCCCCUGCUCGCACAGUUUAUCAGCCAGGAACACUUCACACUUCCCUACAGCAGUCUGUGAAACCUGAUUCGAGGGGCAGGCUCCUCUCCCGCUGUGGUGCUGGGAAUAUCUGAGUUCCCAGGGCCACAGAGAGGUGAGGGAGAUGAGGAAAAAUCUCUGCCCAUAAUUCAAGAUAAAAAUAGCAUCUGAAAGCGAAUGACCUUUGCUGGGACACGAGGACAGGAUCCUGCCUUUGAGAGCCUGCCCUGGUCAGCCCGGAUGCGUGACCCGCUUACCAUGCCGCCAACCUCUGCGUAAUGGCAGCAGGGCUGUGGUACAGCCUGCGCUCACUGCCAGGCUCAGGGUCUCACUGUCACACAGGAGUGGAUGAGUGGAGCAUGAACCAACCCAUCCAUUCCUUCUCCCCAUCUUUCUUGAGCUCACAGGAAUUUGGGGACAUUUCUUUGCAUGGAUAGCACACAUCUCCCUCCCGUCUUGUGAUAACAUCAUAAAAAUGAAUGAGAUGCAAGUGAUGACUAGUUGUGUUCUAUUUGUGGGGAGUUUAAGCUGUGAAUGAAAAUCCACCUGAGAAAAGUGGAUUGUGUCUAAAGGAUUCACAUAGCAGAUAUCAAAACAAUGCACGGGGCUUGAGCAGAGCAUUUAUUGCAUACUGGGAUUCUGGUGAGAAAUCAAAGGGAUGUGUGAGCAUGCAGUAUUUAAGAGACUAUAACAUCUUCUCUUGUCGCUGUGGAGUGAAAUACAUUGUGGAAAUACAGUUUAAGCUAAACCAACUUCUUAAUAAAAAAUAGAAACACACGGUGAAUCUUUACACUAACUCUGUUAUCACACUUUGAAGAGAAAGGUGUUUACUUUAUUAAAGACUGAACCCUGCUUAAUUUAAGCAUCCCCAUUGACGUCUAAGGAUUACAAAGAAAAAGACUAGGCCUUCAAAUGAGGCAAGUUUUAGGAACAGAAUCAGUUUAUGGAAAGCCAGAAAAAAAAAAUUGUCAUGAAAAGUUUUUAUGACAACAAGGGGAGGCAGAAGAAAGGGGAGCACUGGCUGGAUGGGAGACAUCAUGGAGGGCUGGAAUUAAAUUCUGAUUGUGGGGCAGGGAAAUGAGAGAGGAUUUUCUUUGUCAUUAGGCUUUCAUUCACAAAAUGAUUUUUUAAUGGGUCAUAUCUUGUUGUCAUGCAGAGGUAAAUAGACUUUAUGAGGUUUCCUCUGCUCUGGUUGACAAUAUUAUGCUCUUAAAUUGCAAAGGAGUAUUAUUGUUUGGGAAGGGAUUUGAUCGGGUGUGGGUGCUAUACCAUGUGUAAUUCUACUCACCAGUACCUCAAGGAGAACUUUUGAUGAUGAAAAGGAGGAAAAAAAUAAUAGAGGAAGACACAAUGACAAAAUACCUAAGUAGUAUGUGGUUGUGGAAGAAUCCCCUCCAACAGAAAAAUGCUUGAAGUUACAGUAGGCAGGGAGCAGCUGGAGAGCAGCCGACAGCACAAGAGAGAGCACAUGGGAAACAGCGAGAGAUGAAGCAUGAAGAAGAAGAAUUUAAAUCAAGUGAAAAGCGAAGAACCCAAUGUCACUAAAGCUGUCAGUGUAGAGCCGUUCUUUUGGUUUUGUCCUUCUCUAUGGCUACUUGUUUUAUUUAUCCCUAGCCAGAGUCCAGUCAUUCAUCUUUACUUACUGGUGCAAUCUGCCUUGGCUUGCCUGUUGGUAUUCUGAGAAAGACACGUCUAGGAGUGGGCAUUGAGAUCAACUCUUUCUGUUUUCCUAUAAAAUACCUAUUUUAAUGCAUUGAAGCCAAAAACUAAACUUGGUGUCAGGCAAACCAGACCGAGGAAGAAAAUGUUAAAGGACAGUGUUUUAUUGAUCAAGUUGAGCCUAAUGAUACCAGCAGAAAUUAUAACGGGCCUGGCACUGGUCUGCAGUUCUACAGUGUCACAUACCUCUUCUCAAACUAUUGGUGAGAUGGAGAAAAGUUGAAGGGUUAGCAUGGGAAUAUGUGAGUACCACAGAGACAGUUUGCAGGUUUCCAUCAGUUCAUUGCUUAUCAGUAAUUUCUUUCUCUGUUUUCAUUUUCUCUAAUCACAGAGGGAAUAGAAUUAUUAGAGGAAGCUGUAAGUGAUUUAAUACCUCUAGAUGCAAACUGCAGUGAAGUAAUAAAGUAUUUUUAUCAUGUAAAUGAAAAUAAUUAGUGAUAAAGAUAGCACAAUUUUUUUUUUUGUAGGUAAUAGAGGUAAUAAAAAUACUGCAAAUCCUGCUGUCAUUAGAAGUCACUUAUAAAUUGGUGACUGCAAACAGUAGCUAUAUGAGUGAAAUGAUUAGUAUCCUGCCUGUGCUACUAAUUUGACAGGACCAAAAAUAUCCACUUAAAAAUACACUGCUUGAAUAUAGGUUUCAGUCCUUUAAACUGAUGUAUAGAGAAUGACCCAUCCUACAUAGAUGCUAAUUUCAGAGCUGGUUGGUUUUAAUUACAGAAGCGAUACAUGUUCUGUUUGGUGGUUGAUUUGUUGAUUUUUAAUUAAAAACAAACAAACAAAACCCACCAAGAAUAUUAAUACCAGAUUCGGAGACAUUCUUAGUAAGAAAAAAAUUAUCAACCAUCCUCCAAAGGCAGCAAAUUCAAAAUGAAAGGCUGAAACUCACCCUAAAGUUUUGUCUGUAGAUAGGAAAUAGCUAGAGUUAUUCUAUCAACUCUGUCCUUGAGGAUAAAUAUGGUUUUUGUUUGUUUGUUCGCUUGUUUUUUAAAUCCUCGUGUAACCUCAGCAGUGUCCCACCAAGGGAGAGGGACGGGGUGGGUGCUGCAGCAAAGAGCUCCCUGCUCGGAUCUCCCCGGUGCUGAAGCCCGCGGCUGUGCAGGCAUUGCAGCGAGGAGUGCAGCUCGCCGGCACUAGAGGGCACAGCAACAGCUCCUCUGGAGCCCCUGGACACGCUAACCCUAACAAAUCCGGCUCCUUAAUGACUGUGGGUGAGUUUUUAAAGUUGUUUUUUAUCAAUUUUUCUCUUUAUCCUUAGAGGGUUUUCUUAAAGCAUAUAUCCCUUUUUAUCUCUCUGGCCCGGUGGUGGUUUUUAAAUAAAAGUUUCCUGUAAAGAAACACAAUUAGUCAUUUUCCCUCUGGAUUUACACACAUCAUGAGAAUAAACUCCAGUGUCUGAUACCCUAGACAAGCACACUGCUGCAACACUUGAAGGGAAAUCCUGUCCAUGUCACAGCAAGGACAGAGAGAUUAACGAGUCUGCUAUGGGAUGGCAUUUCCUAUUUUACUGCAUGUAGCCAUGUUACUGCUGAUCCAAUGUUGGUCACCUUUAUAGGAACAAGGUUUUGUGAAAGAAAAUAUAAUUAAAAAGGUGUCCUAAAGGAAAAUACUUUAAAGUUUGAAUUUUAAUAUGCAUAAAGUCAGCUCUAAAAUAAUCUUAUAAUUUUUUUACUGCUGGAAUUACAUUCUCAAUUUUGAGAAGUACCUGCCCAUUCCUUUUCUCAUUUCUGUGACAAACGAUGGCUGCAUAAUCCACUUUACCAACCCAACAUCAUUGCAUCAGGACAAAAUAAUACAGCAAAAAGCUACAGCUAUUCUGUCGUGGUUAGAGUGGUGCUUUAUUUUGGUAGCCAAACUGGAGGCACUGACUGGAGAAGAGUUAUUAUUGUGCCGCCUGGUUUUCUUGCUGCUUUGCAAUUGACAAAGCAUCAUUUAUCAUGCUUUGCAUUCCAAUUUUUCUUUGCAUGUUUUCCAGCUCAUCAUAACAUAAUUAUGUUUCUGUUUCUUCCAGCCAGGGGCCGAUACUUUCUUUUACUAAGACAACAGCUGCACUGCACAACCUUGAUGAAUCCCCAUAAGGGUAAAUGUGUCUGUGGUGCUUGUUUCUGCCUUGGCAACCCAAAUGUUCAAGAUCUUUUUUAUGACAAAUGAUGUUUUAAAAAAGGACCCAACCCUGGUGCUUUCAUAGCAUUUUUCAAAGUUAGGUUUUGUGUUGUAAUUUAGAUUUGAAAUAUUAAAUGUCCUGGCGGGUUUGCAAUUUUAAGGCUUCUUUCAUAACAUUUCUUUUUGUAGUGUUUAUAGAUUUGUAAAUGCUGAGAGGGGAUUUUACAGGGCCAUAAUAAUUGAUAUGAAAUUUAUUUUUUGAAUGCAAUUGAUUUUAUGCGUGAGUAUCAGCACAACAUAGAGGUAUGUGUUAUGCUCCUAAAAGGCAUCAUAAGGCUUCUGUAGUGGUACAGGUGAGUCAUGUCUUAACUUGGCCUCGGUUGCUCCAGCCACACUGAAAGGUAAGGGUAAUUAUAUCAGCCUGGUUUAUGAAGUGCUAGUGUUGAAAAUGUCAUGGAAGACAUGGUGCUUUUAUUAUUACUUAUUGAGAUAUAUUUAACUCUAAUUUGGUGCAUUGUACCUGAGAUUUUGAAGUGGUUUCAAAAGGAAGGAUAUUUUUAUUUUGCAAGGGAGAAAUCAGGGCAGAGACAAAUAGGGCUCAAUACUGGAGGUAAGCCAAGGCCCGGAUCCAUUCUUAAUGGCUCCCAGUUUUGUUUACCCAAUUAUACAAUUAGUAUUUCCGAUCUCAUCUCAAAAUACAGCAUCAGAGCCCCAGGAACAACUCAAGCAGUAACUUUUCAGUCAUUAAGGAUUCCCUAGAUUUACAAAUACAGGGAAUACUGUGCCCUGGACAAUAUCACAGUCUGGACAAAUGCAUUCUUCAGGGUGAAGUGUUCCCUCCAAUUCUGCUUUCUAUGCUAAUGUCUUGGGUGUUAUUACUGCUGCCACCACUGUUUGAAGUUUAGCUAUAUUUCAGGGGUAAAAUUACAAAACUUUUAUACAUGGAGGCAAGAGCUCUAGCUCAUGAUCACUCUUAGUUACAUCUAUCUGUGCAGUGAUCUAAGGAUGCUUUGGAAUGUGUGAGCACAAAAGCAUAGGUAGGAAUGUUUCAGUUCUGUCCAUCACAUUGAUUACUGAUUACUGCCUAAAGGGCUCUUAGGUGUUGAUAGGAACUGUACCUGUUUAGCCAGGGAUAAAUCCAUCUUCCAUCCACAAAUCGUGAGUGUUGACUGUUGUUAGAGAAGGUAGCAGGCCUAUUGUUUUGGCUAUACAUUGAACUUAUGGAUGAUGAGAAGAGUUUGCCUUGUGUUAUUUCUUCCUUAUAACCCCAUGGCAAAUUCUAGAAGAUUCUGCCCAUGUAUUUAUAUAUACAUAUAUAUAUAUGUAUGUAUAUUUUCUCAUUUAUCCUUGGUUUCUCUACUGUGGCCACUCACACACAUUCAACGUAAGGCUGUGUAAGAUGUGCAUUUUCUUUCUGAUUCAUGUACAGUAAUUACUUCCUAACAUCUGCCUAACAGAUUUUGUAAGAAAAGUAACUCUGCAAAUAUUAAAAAAAAAUAAUGUAUGAAA